UCCGGUUUGUCACCGGCAGUCUCAUUAGAGUGCCCAACUGAAUGUAGCAACUAAUGACAAGGGUUGCGCUCGUUGCGGGACUUAACCCAACAUCUCACGACACGAGCUGACGACAGCCAUGCACCACCUGUGCAAGGCCCCGAAGGACACCGUAUCUCUACGGCUUUUCCCUGCAUGUCAAGCCCAGGUAAGGUUCUUCGCGUCGCAUCGAAUUAAGCAACACGCUCCGCUGCUUGUGCGGGGCCCCGUCAAUUCCUUUGAGUUUUAGCCUUGCGGCCGUACUCCCCAGGCGGGGCACUUAAUGCGUUAGCGACGGCACGGACUCCGUUGGUUGGAGCCCACACCUAGUGCCCAACGUUUACGGCGUGGACUAC
rnacentral:misc_RNA from 1 species